AUUGAACGCUGGCGGCAGGCCUAACACAUGCAAGUCGAACGGUAGCACAGAGGAGCUUGCUCCUUGGGUGACGAGUGGCGGACGGGUGAGUAAUGCCUGGGAAACUGCCCGAUGGAGGGGGAUAACUACUGGAAACGGUAGCUAAUACCGCAUAACGUCUUCGGACCAAAGUGGGGGACCUUCGGGCCUCACACCAUCGGAUGUGCCCAGGUGGGAUUAGCUAGUAGGUGGGGUAAUGGCUCACCUAGGCGACGAUCCCUAGCUGGUCUGAGAGGAUGACCAGCCACACUGGAACUGAGACACGGUCCAGACUCCUACGGGAGGCAGCAGUGGGGAAUAUUGCACAAUGGGCGCAAGCCUGAUGCAGCCAUGCCGCGUGUAUGAAGAAGGCCUUCGGGUUGUAAAGUACUUUCAGUGGGGAGGAAGGCAGUGAAGUUAAUAGCUUCGCUGAUUGACGUUACCCGCAGAAGAAGCACCGGCUAACUCCGUGCCAGCAGCCGCCGUAAAAC
rnacentral:rRNA from 1 species